AUUGAACGCUGGCGGCAGGCCUAACUCAUGCAAGUCGAGCGGAUGAAGGGAGCUUGCUCCUGGAUUCAGCGGCGGACGGGUGAGUAAUGCCUAGGAAUCUGCCUGGUAGUGGGGGAUAACGUCCGGAAACGGGCGCUAAUACCGCAUACGUCCUGAGGGAGAAAGUGGGGGAUCUUCGGACCUCACGCUAUCAGAUGAGCCUAGGUCGGAUUAGCUAGUUGGUGGGGUAAAGGCCUACCAAGGCGACGAUCCGUAAAUGGUCUGAGAGGAUGAUCAGUCACAAUGGAACUGAGACACGGUCCCGAAUCCUACGGGAGGCAGGAGUGGGGAAUAUUGGACCAUGGGCGAAAGCCUGACCCAGCCAUGCCGCGUGUGUGAAGAAGGUCUUCGGAUUGUAAAGCACUUUAAGUUGGGAGGAAGGGCAGUAAGUUAAUACCUUGCUGUUUUGACGUUACCAACAGAAUAAGCACCGGCUAACUUCGUG
rnacentral:rRNA from 1 species